rnacentral:rRNA from 1 species
AUUGAACGCUGGCGGCAUGCCUUACACAUGCAAGUCGAACGGUAACAGGUUAAGCUGACGAGUGGCGAACGGGUGAGUAAUGUAUCGGAACGUGCCCAGUCGUGGGGGAUAACUGCUCGAAAGAGCAGCUAAUACCGCAUACGACCUGAGGGUGAAAGCGGGGGAUCGCAAGACCUCGCGCGAUUGGAGCGGCCGAUAUCAGAUUAGGUAGUUGGUGAGGUAAAGGCUCACCAAGCCGACGAUCUGUAGCUGGUCUGAGAGGACGACCAGCCACACUGGGACUGAGACACGGCCCAGACUCCUACGGGAGGCAGCAGUGGGGAAUUUUGGACAAUGGGCGCAAGCCUGAUCCAGCCAUGCCGCGUGCGGGAAGAAGGCCUUCGGGUUGUAAACCGCUUUUGUCAGGGAAGAAAAGGUUCUGGCUAAUACCUGGGACUCAUGACGGUACCUGAGGAAUAAGCACCGGCUAACUACGUG